rnacentral:misc_RNA from 1 species
GAUGAAGAACGCAGCGAAUUGCGAUAUGUAAUGUGAAUUGCAGAAUUCAGUGAAUCAUCGAAUCUUUGAACGCACAUUGCGCCCCCUGGCAUUCCGGGGGGCAUGCCUGUCCGAGCGUCAUUUCUGCCCUCCAGCCCGGCUGGGUGUUGGGCGCUGUCCCCCCGGGGACACGCCCCAAAGGCAGUGGCGGCGCCGCGUCGGGUCCUCGAGCGUAUGGGGCUUUGUCACCCGCUCGGGACGGACUCGUCGGCGCUGGUCUUCCUCCAGGCGACCCUUCGGGGCUCGUCUUCCUUCGGUUGACCUCGGAUCAGGUAGGGUUACCCGCUGAACUUAAGCAUAUCAAUAAGCGGAGGA